GGCCAGUUAGUUCAGUCAGUUGAGCAUAGCGCUAACAACGCUAAGGUCACAGGUUCGAUUCCUGUUCGGUCUC
rnacentral:tRNA from 1 species